rnacentral:rRNA from 1 species
UGGGGAAUAUUGCACAAUGGGCGCAAGCCUGAUGCAGCCAUGCCGCGUGUGUGAAGAAGGCCUUCGGGUUGUAAAGCACUUUCAGCGAGGAGGAAGGGUUCAGUGUUAAUAGCACUGUUCAUUGACGUUACUCGCAGAAGAAGCACCGGCUAACUCCGUGCCAGCAGCCGCGGUAAUACGGAGGGUGCAAGCGUUAAUCGGAAUUACUGGGCGUAAAGCGCACGCAGGCGGUUUGUUAAGUCAGAUGUGAAAUCCCCGCGCUUAACGUGGG